CUGCGUUCUACGGCGGUUUUCUGUACUCCACGCUCUGGGUGGAAAGAUAAACUUUUUCAGGACUUGCUCGCUGCAGUGCGGUUGAUGACCCAAAGAAAAUUCCAACUACAGUGUAUCUUCUUACCUCAAAAAUACUGAAUGGAAGUGGAUCUUCUUACUUCAAAUUAUGCAAAACUCCCUCACAGGGGUGGCGACGGAACCCAUGGCUUCUCUGAUGCAAGUGCUCCAUCCUGGGGCCACAUCCCCAGCCCAAGGUGUCAUUCUUUGAGUGCCAGAGAAUCCAUUUGGCAGCUCAGAAUACUGGGCUUACCAUUGCGUACACCACACCUGGUGUAUCUUUUUCAUGAUGCUUCCAGAUGGAGUCUUGACCAAAUACCAGAUCAGUCGGCCAGCUUUAGAAUCCCUAUUAGCUGGGAUUGUGAACCUACAACGUGGCAUCCACCAGACAAGCAGAAACUGGGAACUGGGAGUAAGCCCGGAGUUUCAUAAGAGCUGCCUUCAAGAUUUCAGCUGAGGGUGAUGCAACUCCAGGAGAGCGACGAUGACGUAAGAGGAAAGUAGUCCAGCCCCAUAAUGAAUUGAGAACAUCCAAAGACAUUUGAAAGUGAUAACAUUUCAAGACCUGAAGAUUUCGGGACUUGGUCUCCAGGCAUUAUGAUUUGUUAUGCUAUCUAGAUAUGUUUGGUCUAUUUUUUUUUAAACACCAGAGGAAAACGAGUCUGUCUUUCCUAUGUUUGAUAUCACACUUAACAGUUUCUAUAGUCAGACAUCUCUUCUUUGUAGUUUUAAAUUAAUUUUUAAAUCCAAUUACAAAAUAUGCAUCGAAGUAACUAAUAACUGUAAUAAACGCUGCUUUCCCUUACGUUUUUUGCUUACGCUCCAGCAGGAAAAAUAUUCUUCAGUUCAUAUCUGUUAGUUCACUCAGUGGCAGUGCUACAGACAAUGGCCUAUGAUGAUGGCCAGGCCCAACCCAGGCCAGAUUCUUACCAGGUAAAUGGAAACCUAAACUCAGCAUUCCUCAGAAAUCCCUGUGAGGUGGCCUUCUGCUUGCCAGAAAAGCUGCUGCUUCUCUUCUCUGCCCACAGUGGUCAACCCACCUUGGGCAAAGGGCAUCUAGUUCCCUAUUAACCCAAACAGCCUGCUCAGAAACCCCCACAUGCUGAUGAUCAUAAAAAUCUGCUUGUUUUCCCAGCAAGCUUCCGCUCUCUACUCCCUGAGGCCCCCAGCAGGUUGUCCCCUAAUAAACUGUUUUUCUACACAAGGAGUGGUCUAGAUUGGUGGUUUCACUGGACCUUGCUUAUAAUAUCUUGGUGGGGGCAAGUCCUCUAGCUUUUACUGUUCUCUUAAGAAUAUAUAAAUAGUAUCUAAUUUUCAUUUAAAAAAAAGUCCCUCGGCCAG